GACAGAGGGUGCAAACGUUUGUUCGGAAUUACUGGGCGUAAAGCGUGUGUAGGCGGUCCUGAAAGUCGGAUGUGAAAGCCCCGGGCUCAACCCGGGAAGUGCACUCGAUACUCCAGGACUUGAGUGUCGGAGAGGUUGGUGGAAUUCUCGGUGUAGAGGUGAAAUUCGUAGAUAUCGAGAGGAACACCGGUGGCGAAGGCGGCCAACUGGACGAACACUGACGCUGGAGACACGAAAGCGUGGGGAGCAAACAGG
rnacentral:rRNA from 1 species